AAUAUUCACUUUAUGAGUCUAAAGUUAUUAAUUACUUCAUCACAAAAUAUCAUAGCAAAAAAGCAAUUUAAUGCUAUAACUUCCUUUUAUGUUGUAGAUCAUUACAAUGUGCAAUUAUAAUGAAAAAUCUUAUACAUAAUCAAUCUUAAUGUUAAUAUUCUAUUCUAAAUUGUCUAAUAUUCUGUAGGAUAUAUAUUACUAUGUUUUAAAUUUUAGAAUAAUAAUUAUUAUUUCAAAAUACAUACAUAAAAUGAGAAUCACUAAAAGUCGGAAAGUAAUUUGCCAUUGUCAGUUUAAUGUCGGUAAUGGUUAUGACCAGCAAUAUUUAGUUAAUACUCAUAACAAACUCUUUGCUUGAGUGAUAAAAUAUUGUGUCUUUCUCACUGAGAAUUAUGACCCACUCAGAAAUCUCUGUGAAGACUCUGGACAAAAUACAGUUUUAGCCCAAAUAACUGUAUUUAUAAAAAUAUAUUCAUCUUAGCCAGAAAUGACAUCUUAUGCUUACAUUAAUUUAAUAGGAAGUAAGUUCACAUUGCUGUUCUCCCCAGAGAAUAUUCCACAGGAGUCUGUGUCUUAGCUUGAGUUCCCACACCGCCCCUGCUGGGUGCACAGGGGGAGAGAACCAGUGCUUCCUGAGGUCCCCCUCCAACCAGCCUUCACCGUCCAGGCUGGAAUCACCCACCCCUCCCCAAAGCUACCCUCCCCCACAAAGAUCCAGACCAGGUUUUGCUACAAGCGGUAAUUAGAACGUAAACAGAUGAGGAUCUGCGGUCACUGAGGGCUGGUUUAUGGCGGAAAUUCCCCACCGGAGAAGCAGAAAGGUUUGCAGCCUGGGCUCAGCCCCUCACAAGUUAUAGGACCUCAGACAGAUUGCCAGACUCCUCUCUUCCUCAGUUUCCUCUUAGGGUCAAAUGGGGAGAGUGGUACUCAUUUCACAAGCGGUGCUGUUAGCGUUCAUGUCUGUUCGCAAAAGCCAAUUGUUAAAUUUUCAGGAAUUUUGCAAGUCGUUAAAUACAGCUCCUGUUAAAAAUUAAAUUAUAAUUUAGUAAAUAAGUUGCAUUAAGUCAAAAGUAAUAAAUACUCAAAACUCAUCAAUUCCUAACUAUUUUACUACAUUUAAUUAUUAUCUGUGUUUUUGAGAUUAUUUUUAUCUAUUGUAUCUGGAUGGCGCAAAUAGCAUAUAAUGGUGGACUGCAAAUUUCUCCCCCACCUACGUGUUCAGUGACUCAGAUGGGCAGCUUGAAAUUGGCCAUGGUGGAGAGUAUUUACAGAUGGAAACUGGCAAGCACUACAAAUCAGGCUCUUUUUUGAGAGCUGGUGAUUAAACAUUUAUGAAUAGUCCGGUACCUGACUGUUCAUAGUGCUUUCAGGACUUGUCAUUCUAAAAAAUUACAUUAAAUAUAUGUUGUUGAACAUGCAAUAUAUUAUAUGUUAAAUAGUUGUGUGUGUGUAUAAAAACAAAAUAGCAUGGUUGGCACUGUGAGUUCUCAAAUAUGUCAGCCAUUAUUAUUUCUGAGUUGCAUUUAUUUCAUAAUCUAUAUUCUUUCCUCCCUUUCUCCUUCAGUCUUACUUUUUCCUUCUCCUUCUUUUGCUCCCCACCCCAAGCCGGAAGCAGUGGGUGUGGGGAGACACGACCAUAAAUGGAAAUCAUUCUCGACUCUUGAUUCUCUGUCCAGAUUCCCUCCUUCUAGCCUCUAUGACUGGACGUGGAGCCCCCACCAGAUAAGAGACUAGUGUCUGAUUACAUGGGUCCCAGGCCCCAGCAGUGAGCCAGCAGCAUGGACCCUCCACUGACCCCUGCUCUGCGGGUCCCCCAAGGGCGGCAGGGAGGGGCUGCACCGGAGUCUUCCUUCUCUCACUCUGCAGCUCUUAUGACCCACUCAGCCCAGAAAGUCAGGGCUGCUGCUCUUCGACGCGCUGCCUCCGCAGAGGACCCCGAGCAUCAGGGCGAGGGUUUUAGCAGUGUUCUGGAGAGGAGGCUCGGUUCCACCACCGGCGCGGCUGUGAACAGCAGCAGACGCUCUGUGAAGGAUGCACAUAAUGACGUGCUGAGGUUCCCGUCGGUCCUCGGUCCUGGAAGCUCGCAGUCUUCGCGGCCUUCUGUCUCGGGGCCUGGUCAAGAGCUUUGCCUGCGGUGAUUGUGGUCACACUGGCUCUGGUCUUCAGAAUCAGAUGUUCCUCCUGUUUGUCAAUGUGAUGACCUGCGUUGGCUCAUUUUACAGUUAGAAAUCCCUCUGCCCCGUGGCCUAGUUCAGUUUCAUUAAGGUGCCUUUUAAUGAAGAACUUCGAGAUUCAUUUCACCAUGUCUUGGCUGCGUUCUAUUUUAAAUUGUAGGUUACCAUUUUGCCCUAGUUCAAACUCACAGUAACACCUGAAUUUUGAGUUGCAUUUGAGCAUAUAGAAAUACUGAAUUGCUGUGGUGUAGCCACUAUAAUUACACUUUUAAUAAACAGAGUCAUUUAUAGAUUCCAAAUUCAGGGCAAACUUCCCAAGGCAUUCUGUGCACGGCCUUUUCACAGUCCACAGUGCUGGUCCUGUGCUCUUUAUGAUCAACAUAGUUCAGGAUCUGUAACUGGCUCUUUUAUUUAUGCCACUGGGGCUAACUUAUCUAAAUAUGUAAACUUGUAUCUUCAAAUAAUCAUAGAUAAAAUAAUGAAAUUCUGAGAUAAGACCUUUCUUUUAAUGACCUAGUCCCUUAAAAGUUAAAAAAAAGAAUCAGUUAAAUACUGUCGUCUUGACUUUGCUGCCCAAAUGGUCUCAGACAGGCUAUGGAUGGCGUUAACCCGCCAUCUGAGACGGUGUGGUUUUUAGGUUAGGGGUGGCCUUCCGCAGCAGUAAGUUCACUGUCUAACGCAGGCCCUGGUGUUGUCCAGCUGCACAGCAGGCGGCUCAAUGAGCAGAGGGCAGCUGCGGGGGCUGCCCUGUGGUCUCAUUGCUUACAGAGAUCUGAAAUAUGAACUAUCUUCUUGCAUAGUGAAGGAAAAUGGAAUGACUUCUACACAGAGUUGAAGAAAAUUCCCUUGAGUUUCGGGAGAGGGCCUGGGUAAAGAGUCUCGUGAAGAACAGGUGUUGCCGUGUGCUGGAGUGGUGGGCCACCUGUCAGGCUGUGGAACCUGCUGGGGACAGCUGGCUGCCUGGCACCUCAGGAUGUCGUUGAUUAAUACGUCACACGAAUUGCAUGAACACCAGGCUCGUAGGACAUGGUGCCCGGUGUGGGAUGAAGCUAAAUUAAAAACAAGGAUCUGUAACUGGUUUGUUCUGCCUGCUGUGGCCUAAUAUGAGAUUUUAAGUGUAUCAUUUUGGGAGUAAAAGUAAUAAGCCUUCCAUUUACUUAUCACUGAGUAAAGCUGAAAAACCUACUACUUUUUCUUUUAUACCAUGAAGAUCCAGUGACAGUAAUCUUUCAAAAUGUAAAAUAUCUUCCUCCAUAAAAUACAACACAGUCAAACAAUAUUCUACCCCAAAGCACAUCUCCCAAAUAUCAGAUUGUCUCCUUAGUAAAAGACCCUUCCAUUCUAACCCAGGAUUUGUUAUAGAAUUACCAGAAUUCAGUAUUCUGUUUCAUGAACGUAGCGUGUGUCCAGGGUUCCGAUUUCGUCUUGGGAUGCGUUUCUGUCCCUGGAAGUUUGCUCCUGUGUUGGAGGACAGCAGGUCGGAGCCAUUUGCAGCCAUCACAUAGCUUUUUGACGUGUGCUGUGUUGUCAGAGAUCCGUCUCCUGUCCUCACCUCUUUCAGACAGGCUGGCAAAUUACUCGUGGCGCCCUGCAUUUUGAAAUACAGUUAACAGACACGGAAGGAAGCACUUUUACAACUACUGGGAAAAUGUUGUAAUUGGUUAUGCUUUUCAUUUCCAAAGGGAAAGUACUAUUUAGACGUAGGAAAUAGGCUGAGAAAUACAAACUGAGCAGUGGGGGAAGCUGGAUCCGUGAGACGUGACAGCUCUUGGUGAUCCGCAGAGAAACUAGAAACCUCUUCUCCAGGAAGGAAGCGAACAUGAAAACAGCGUAGUUGUCUGUUUCCUUUGUCGGCUCUCUCCAGUUCUCAUCGGAAUCAUACAUGGGAAUUGUAAUAAUGUGCCAACAAUCCUGGAAACCAGAUGCAUCAUUGGUGACAUUGUCGGUUCGUGCACAUUGAUUGCAAAGACCACCCCAAAACUCAAGUCACAGGCUGAGGCUUUCCUUCUCCCCCUAGCAAAGGGCCAGGAGCCAGGAUCAGACCCUUGGGGUUCGGGCAGGUUGAGAAGGGUCAUUGCCAUCUACUCACAUGCUUUGUGGGCCCCAGUCUGGUCAGUCUGAGUCUCAAGACAGAAUCACUGGGCCUGCGGGGAGCAGCAGUUGGGGAGGAGAGAGGAAGGGAAAGGAAAGGGGGCCAGGCAGCCCGGGCCUCGCAGCCGCGUCCCUGGCGAGAGCCAGCCUGCCCUUGGAGGACGGAGGGGAGCUCCUGCAGGCCGCCCGAGGGGAGGCCCCUUCACAGUUUGCAGAACGGUUGUGGGCACGUUUCCCACUCCUCGUGUAGAUUAAACCCAAACUCCCAGAUGGAAGACCUGCCCCUCUCCACAAAGGGCUAUAAUCCACCAGCCAAUCAGUGGGCUCACCUGGCAGCAUCCGCCUAUGGAGACAACCAGCAUUCAAGAUAGCAAGCAUCAUUCGUGAGAAGUAACAUGGCAGUUUAAGGAGGUGUUCUCACUCAUUUGUCAGGUAAUAUGAUUCUACAGAAAUUCUGGUUCAUGCUGACGAAAUGCAAAGAUUAUUACAAUUAGAUAAACUAAAAAUAGUUCUAAAAAUGAAACAAGUUAAAAGAUGUUGCAUUCAUCUUACUAAGGAGAACAGCAGUCUGAGCUGUGUUCAAAGGAGGUCUCUUUUACAAAAGAAGGGGGAGAUAUGAAAAUAGAAAUCUGAGGGGCUGGCCCCGUGGCUGAGUGGUUAAGUUCGAGCUUCUCCGCUUGGGCGGCCCGGGGUUUCGCUGGUUGGGAUCCAGGGCACGGAUAUGGCACCACUCGUCAGGCCACACUAAGACGGCGUCCCACAUGCCACAGCUAGAAGGACCCACAGCUAAAAUAUACAACUAUGUACUGGGGGGAUUUGGGAAGGAAAAAAAGCAGAAAAAAGUGUUACUUUAAAAAAACAGAAAUCUGAGCAGUGGCUCACAGUCAAUUUUCUAUCAUUUGGAUGGAGGAUAAAUUGUGCCACAACAUCUAUCGUUAGAAAAGAACAUAUCCUGCCGGAAUUGGAGAAUGGGUAAAAGUGAUAGAUGAGGUGCUUUUGAAGAAAACGUGCUUCUGGAAAACAAAUGAGAGACAAUCAAUGAAACAGCUGUAAACAGUGGUUCUUAAGAUCCGGGAACCCGACCGACGUAAAUUGAAACUUGAGCAUAAGACGAAUAAGUGGGAUGACUUUCAGGCGAUACUCAUCUCAGGCUUUUCGCAGUCAAAUGACCAUAACUAAAUAACUGCUCUUUCAUUUUUCCAACGUGUAUAAAUUGGAGCUGCCAGUGACCUAAACUUGAGGUUAUUUUGUCUUUGUAUGUGUUCACUAUAUUUUAAAAGAAACAAUAAAAAUCUCAAAGAAAAAUCACCCCCUAACAUGAGGUCUCUUGGCCACCCAGAACCUUUAAGUUUAGAAACACUGAGCCAUCUGAAUUGAUGUUUAAGGACAUGGGAAUUUUUAUUGAUCUGGAAACUGGAUUCUGAGAUCAAGGCGAUGCCUUUUACUAUUAGUAGCUUCUGGGCUAACACAGGUGUGUCUGCCUGAGACUGCAUCAGGUGUUCAGCGUAGGAAAUGCUGAGCCCUUCCCUGUUUUUUGAGUUGGGCCCAGGUGACACCUUCCCUGGGCAGAGUGGACAUGCGAUUCUUCAUCACUUCCCCCAUCGUCUCUUGUCACAGCCUUCUCCCCUGCCACCACCAGCCCAUGUGGCCACUGGCGCAGCCUAUGUCGACAUGAUAUUAAGAGCAACAAAGAGUAAGAAGGAGCCGGCUCCAUCAGGGGGUGGGGACCAAGCUGCUCUUCACCACAGGAUCUACCUCCACUCUUGACCUGCCAUUGGCCUGGCUCCUUCUGGAUGAGACUGGCUGGACCAGAGCAGCAGUGGGCUCUGGGCCUCCCAGCCUUCUGCCAUGGGUGCUGGAUGCUGGGGGCGUUCCUUCCACACAGGGGUGCACACUGUUCCCAGCGUGGUUUUGAGAGGACUCCACUUCUCCCCACUUCCGGUGAGAGGGGCCUGCUGAGCUCACGUACAAGUAAAACCAGGGAACACACACAGCUGGUUGACCACCAGGAUGCUUGCCCUGCCCAAGAGCCCAGCAUUUCUGGUUAAAAAAAAAGAGAGAACUGUGUCUACAAAAUUGGCUGACCAAGACAAAUGAGUAUUUCUUUCUCAUUAUGGAAAAAAAGAGCGCCAGACUUCAAAUAUGCCAGUGGAGCAUGCCCGUGGUCACCAGAGGUGUUCUGAGCAUAAGGCAUUUGCACCUUGAUGCACCUGCAUUGUGUAGCUCAGUUGACUGCUGAGAUGACUGAAACAAUGGAUUUCUCAAACUGUUUUCCAAACAUAAAUGGUUCAAAAAGGGGGAAAAAAGUCCCCUUUUUCUCAUAAGCAAGAAUAUUUUGCAUUCCUCAGACUUAAAUUGAUCCCAAUCUAUUUUCUAUUCAUCUAGGCCAUUCAUUUGGCAAAGGAUCAUUUACUAAUACACCAUGAAGUAUGGAAGGAAGGGAUGAAUAAUGAAGUGAAGACAACUGAUAUCAUACCCCAUAAUAUCCAUAGUAGAAAUUAUAAAAGUCACA
ensembl:lncRNA